GAUGAACGCUGGCGGCGUGCCUAAUACAUGCAAGUCGAGCGAACGGACGAGAAGCUUGCUUCUUUGAUGUUAGCGGCGGACGGGCGAGUAACACGUGGAUCACCUACCUAUAAGUCUGGGAUAAUUUCGGGAAACCGGAGCCAAUACUGGAUAAUAUUUUGUACCGCAUGGUUCAAAGGUGAAUGACGGUUUUGCCGUUACUUAUAGCUGGUUUCGCGCUGCAUUAGCUAGUUGGUAAGGUAACGGCUUACCAAGGCAACGAUGCAUAGCCGACCUGAGAGGGUGAUCGGCCACACUGGAACUGAGACACGGUCCAGACUCCUACGGGAGGCAGCAGUAGGGAAUCUUCCGCAAUGGGCGAAAGCCUGACGGAGCAACACCGCGUGGGUGAUGAAGGUCUUCGGGUCGUAAAGCUCUGUUAUUAGGGAAGAACAGAUGUAUAAGUAACUGUGCACAUCUUGACGGUACCUAAUCAGAAAGCCACGGCUAACUACGUG
rnacentral:rRNA from 1 species